AGAGUUUACUAGAGGCUGAGUAUGAUGGUACUCUCACAAACCUUAAGAUCUACCAGCUGAAGGUGACUUCAGGGAUUUUCAAACAUCUUUUAUACCAAAAUCCAAGGGAUUGUUUUUAAAGCUUAUGUUGCCACUGGGAAUGAGUUCUUUAGAUUUUGAUUUUCUAUGAAGAAAAGGAUACGAAAAUGAAAAGAAAGCAGGAGCUGAAAGAAUAGGAGAGAGAAGAGAAGGAGAAAUCAGAAAGGGAAAGAAGAAAACCAAGGACUGAUCCUUGGGAUGCUCCAAAAUUAAUAGGUCUUGGAGAAGAGAGAGUGCUAGCAUGAAGACUGAGAAGGAAUAACCAGUGAGCCAGGAAGCAAAUGAAAAAGAGUAUGGUGUCCUGGAAACCAUGUGAAGAAAAUAUAUUGAGGAAGAGGGAGUCAUCAGCCAUGCCACUGGACUUACAGGCAGCUAAUGAAGUAAACCAACCCAGGGACUUCCUCUAGACUGGGAGGUGCUAACCAAGGGAGUUCUACAGAAAGCAUGCCUGGGGUGAGUGGCUUGGCCUAGCUUUUAGUCUGUCCACAUCAGAGGACACAGUAUGGUGCCUCCCAGUCCUCAUCUGGCCCCCAGACCUUUUUGUUGUUGUUCUAAUAAAAUUUAAAAUCAUUUCCAA